UUAAUACGUCCCGCCUGGGGAGUACGCACGCAAGUUGAAACUCAAAGGAAUUGACGGGGGCCCGCACAAGCGGUGGAGUAUGUGGUUUAAUUCGAUGCAACGCGAAGAACCUUACCAGGGCUUGACAUCCCGCGAAUCUCUUGUGAAAGUGGAGAGUGCCUUCGGGAGCGCGGAGACAGGUGGUGCAUGGCUGUCGUCAGCUCGUGUCGUGAGAUGUUGGGUUAAGUCCCGCAACGAGCGCAACCCUCGUUCUUAGUUGCCAUCAUUAAGUUGGGCACUCUAGGGAGACUGCCGGUGACAAACCGGAGGAAGGUGGGACGACGUCAAGUCAUCAUGCCCCUUACGUCCUGGGCUACACACGUACUACAAUGCU
rnacentral:rRNA from 1 species